GACGAACGCUGGCGGCGUGCUUAACACAUGCAAGUCGAACGGAAAGGCCCUGCUUUUGUGGGGUGCUCGAGUGGCGAACGGGUGAGUAACACGUGAGUAACCUGCCCUUGACUUUGGGAUAACUUCAGGAAACUGGGGCUAAUACCGGAUAGGAGCUCCUGCUGCAUGGUGGGGGUUGGAAAGUUUCGGCGGUUGGGGAUGGACUCGCGGCUUAUCAGCUUGUGGGUGGGGUAGUGGCUUACCAAGGCUUUGACGGGUAGCCGGCCUGAGAGGGUGACCGGCCACAUUGGGACUGAGAUACGGCCCAGACUCCUACGGGAGGCAGCAGUGGGGAAUAUUGCACAAUGGGCGGAAGCCUGAUGCAGCAACGCCGCGUGCGGGAUGACGGCCUUCGGGUUGUAAACCGCUUUCGCCUGUGACGAAGCGUGAGUGACGGUAAUGGGUAAAGAAGCACCGGCUAACUACGUGCCAGCCGCCGCAGUAAUAC
rnacentral:rRNA from 1 species